rnacentral:tRNA from 1 species
UGUAGUUUAGUGGUAGAGUGCUUGCCUAGCAUGCAUGAGGCCCUGGAUUCAAUCUCCAGUA